GGUCUAUGAAAUAAUGUAAAAUGUUGGAUAGUAUUUUAAUUCUUUAUUGUUUCUAACAUUAUAAACUUAAGUCUUCCUCAAGUAGCUGGCUUGUUUCUGCUGGUGACUUGGGGCAAAUCUGAAUACCUGAAAAAGAAUGAAAAAAUAUAAGUGGCCAGCUGUAAGUCCAGGCACAUCACUUUGGACAAGAGCCAGCAUCACUUCCUAUUUUACUACGACUGUACCAGACAAAUGAAAUAAAUAACAGUAUUACUAUAA